GGUGUUAUCUCCGUGCUAUCAGAUUUGUUUGUGACAAGCAUCCUGGUGAGCAUGUCUGAUAAAGCCUAUUCCCAGAUGUUUGUUCAGAUGCUGGGGGGCCGUUUUCUGUCUGCAUGCACAUCUAAUUUCUCAGAACAUGUAUAUCGGAAUGUGGCUGCUACCACCAGUGAUAAUACCUAAUAUCACUAUCCAAGAAUGACUUCAUAUACCUGGCUUUCCUUUCUAUGCUCUGUCUUGAGAGCACACGUAUUGAUCCGUCCCGUCCAGGGAGUAAACAUCUUUUCCAAGAAAGCGAAAGGUAGAAUUCAAUGAUAUAAAUAUAUGAAUAAACAUUUCAACACCUGA